rnacentral:rRNA from 1 species
CCGGCACGGGUGCGUAACGCGUAUGCAACCUACCAUCAACAGGGGGAUAACACUGAGAAAUUGGUACUAAUACCCCAUAAUAUCUCAUGCGGCAUCGCAUGGGGUUGAAAACUCCGGUGGUUGAUGAUGGGCAUGCGUUGUAUUAGCUGGUUGGUGAGGUAACGGCUCACCAAGGCGACGAUACAUAGGGGGACUGAGAGGUUAACCCCCCACAUUGGUACUGAGACACGGACCAAACUCCUACGGAAGGCAGCAG